rnacentral:rRNA from 1 species
AUUGAACGCUGGCGGCAGGCCUAACACAUGCAAGUCGAGCGGAUGAAGGGAGCUUGCUCCUGGAUUCAGCGGCGGACGGGUGAGUAAUGCCUAGGAAUCUGCCUGGUAGUGGGGGAUAACGUCCGGAAACGGGCGCUAAUACCGCAUACGUCCUGAGGGAGAAAGGGGGGGAUCUUCGGACCUCACGCUAUCAGAUGAGACUAGGCCGGAUUAGCUAGUUGGUUGGGUAAAGGCUUACCAAGGCGACGAUCCGUAACUGGUCUGAGAGGAUGAUCAGUCACACUGGAACUGAGACACGGUCCAGACUCCUACGGGAGGCAGCAGUGGGGAAUAUUGGACAAUGGGCGAAAGCCUGAUCCAGCCAUGCCGCGUGUGUGAAGAAGGUCUUCGGAUUGUAAAGCACUUUAAGUUGGGAGGAAGGGCAGUAAGUUAAUAUCUUGCUGUUUUGACGUUACCAACAGAAUAAGCCACGGCUAACUUCGUG